rnacentral:rRNA from 1 species
UGCCAGCCGCCGCGGUAAUACGGAGGGGGUUAGCGUUGUUCGGAAUUACUGGGCGUAAAGCGUACGUAGGCGGACUGAUCAGUCAGAGGUGAAAUCCCAGGGCUCAACCCUGGAACUGCCUUUAAAACUACAAGUCUAGAGUUCGAGAGAGGUGAGUGGAAUUCCGAGUGUAGAGGUGAAAUUCGUAGAUAUUCGGAGGAACACCAGUGGCGAAGGCGGCUCACUGGCUCGAUACUGACGCUGAGGUACGAAAGUGUGGGGAGCAAACAGGAUUAGAUA